GUAGGGGUGCAAGCGUUACCCGGAUUUACUGGGCGUAAAGGGUUGCGUAGGCGGUAUAUCAAGUCAAAAUUCAAAUGCUCACGCUCAACGUGAGAAGGGGUUUUGAUACUGAUAUGCUUUGAGGAUCAGAGGGGUAGUUGGAACUUGUAGUGGAGCGGUGAAAUGCGUUGAGAUUACAAGGAACACCGAUGGCGUAGGCAAACUACUGGCUGAUAUCUGACGCUGAUGCACGAAAGCUAGGGGAGCAAAACGGGUUAGAGACCCGUGUAGUCCUAGCCGUAAACGAUGGACACUAGAUGCUCGGUUUUUCUGAGUGUCGUAAGCUAACGCGUUAAGUGUCCCGCCUGGGGAGUACGGUCGCAAGAUUA
rnacentral:rRNA from 1 species